rnacentral:rRNA from 1 species
UCUUCUGGAGUCGUAGACUUCGGUCUGCUACCUCUUACCCAUGUCUUUUGAGUACCUUCGUUUCCUCGGCGGGUCCGCCCGCCGAUUGGACAACAUUCAAACCCUUUGCAGUUGCAAUCAGCGUCUGAAAAAACAUAAUAGUUACAACUUUCAACAACGGAUCUCUUGGUUCUGGCAUCGAUGAAGAACGCAGCGAAAUGCGAUAAGUAGUGUGAAUUGCAGAAUUCAGUGAAUCAUCGAAUCUUUGAACGCACAUUGCGCCCCUUGGUAUUCCAUGGGGCAUGCCUGUUCGAGCGUCAUUUGUACCUUCAAGCUCUGCUUGGUGUUGGGUGUUUGUCUCGCCUCUGCGUGUAGACUCGCCUUAAAACAAUUGGCAGCCGGCGUAUUGAUUUCGGAGCGCAGUACAUCUCGCGCUUUGCACUCAUAACGACGACGUCCAAAAGUACAUUUUUACACUCUUGACCUCGGAUCAGGUAGGGAUACCCGCUGAACUUAAGCAUAUCAUAAGCCGGGAGGAAGA